rnacentral:rRNA from 1 species
UACGAAGGUGGCAAGCGUUACUCGGAAUUACUAGGCGUAAAGGGCAGGUAGGUGGUUUGGUUAGUCUGUUGUGAAAGCUCCUUGCUUAACGGGGAGAGGUCAACAGAUACUGCCAGACUUGAGUAUAGGAGAGGGUACUGGAAUUCCCGGUGUAGCGGUGAAAUGCGUAGAGAUUGGGAAGAACACCGGUGGCGAAAGCGCUCUACUGGGCCUGCACCGACACUGAGGGACGAAAGCUAGGGGAGCGAAAGGG